rnacentral:rRNA from 1 species
UUGAACGCUGGCGGCAGGCCUAACACAUGCAAGUCGAACGGCAACAGGAAGAAGCUUGCUUCUUUGCUGACGCGUGGCGGACGGGUGAGUAAUGUCUGGGAAACUGCCUGAUGGAGGGGGAUAACUACUGGAAACGGUAGCUAAUACCGCAUAACGUCGCAAGACCAAAGAGGGGGACCUUCGGGCCUCUUGCCAUCGGAUGUGCCCAGAUGGGAUUAGCUAGUAGGUGGGGUAACGGCUCACCUAGGCGACGAUCCCUAGCUGGUCUGAGAGGAUGACCAGCCACACUGGAACUGAGACACGGUCCAGACUCCUACGGGAGGCAGCAGUGGGGAAUAUUGCACAAUGGGCGCAAGCCUGAUGCAGCCAUGCCGCGUGUAUGAAGAAGGCCUUCGGGUUGUAAAGUACUUUCAGCGGGGAGGAAGGGAGUAAAGUUAAUACCUUUACUCAUUGACGUUACCCGCAGAAGAAGCACCGGCUAACUCCGUG